rnacentral:rRNA from 1 species
UGGGGAAUAUUGCACAAUGGGCGCAAGCCUGAUGCAGCCAUGCCGCGUGUGUGAAGAAGGCCUUCGGGUUGUAAAGCACUUUCAGCGAGGAGGAAGGGUAGUGUGUUAAUAGCACAUUGCAUUGACGUUACUCGCAGAAGAAGCACCGGCUAACUCCGUGCCAGCAGCCGCGGUAAUACGGAGGGUGCAAGCGUUAAUCGGAAUUACUGGGCGUAAAGCGCACGCAGGCGGUUUGUUAAGUCAGAUGUGAAAUCCCCGCGCUUAACGUGGGAACUGCAUUUGAAACUGGCAAGCUAGAGUCUUGUAGAGGGGGGUAGAAUUCCAGGUGUAGCGGUGAAAUGCGUAGAGAUCUGGAGGAAUACCGGUGGCGAAGGCGGCCCCCUGGACAAAGACUGACGCUCAGGUGCGAAAGCGUGGGGAGCAAACAGGAUUAGAUACCCU